rnacentral:rRNA from 1 species
AGCGAACGCUGGCGGCAUGCUUAACACAUGCAAGUCGCACGGCGGGGGCAACUCCGUCAGUGGCGGACGGGUGAGUAACGCGUAGGAAUCUAUCCUUGAAUGGGGGACAACCGUGGGAAACUACGGCUAAUACCGCAUGAUGCCUGAGGGCCAAAGACGAAAGUCGUUUGAGGAGGAGCCUGCGUCUGAUUAGGUAGUUGGUGGGGUAAAGGCCUACCAAGCCUGCGAUCAGUAGCUGGUCUGAGAGGAUGAUCAGCCACAUUGGGACUGAGACACGGCCCAAACUCCUACGGGAGGCAGCAGUGGGGAAUAUUGGACAAUGGGCGAAAGCCUGAUCCAGCAAUGCCGCGUGUGUGAAGAAGGUCUUCGGAUUGUAAAGCACUUUUGGCAGGGACGAUGAUGACGGUACCUGCAGAAUAAGCCCCGGCUAACUUCGUG